rnacentral:lncRNA from 1 species
UAGACACUGGCUCCUUAGUCAUUAGAGCCUCAGCUUACCUGAGUAUUGUUGCUGUCCCUUCAUGACAACAGAGUAACCAUUUUCAGAUGGUAGCUUCAAAGCUCAAAUCUCAGGCUGGUUUCUUGAAAAUGACAAAGAGUUUGUUGUACUCAAAGGGCCUCCACGGUUACCAGAUCAUCUUUGGGAUGUAGUGGAAUUGAAGAUUCAUAUCAUGGAUGUGCAACUGAGCAAUGCUGUCAUGUCAGUAUGGACCAGAAUCUACUAAUCUGAACAUCAAUUUUGUCUGUGUACGUUUCACAUUUCUGUUUUCAGACUCUGAAUUCUUUUUGUGACUUGAAAUGACGUUCAGGAACACAAUCUUUGAAACAUAUGUGAUGCUAACUGUUAGCUAGCUAACAAAGAGCUAGCCUCAAGCUCAUGUUCUAUACUUUCUGUCCUGUCUGACUGCGGCUUUAUCUAGUAGUAUACAACAAAUGAUAAUCAAAUAGAGAGGAAGUCUAAGAAGUGAUAAGAAAAACUGGAGGGCUAGUUAAAGAAGAAAAUUAAGGAAUUAAAGCAAGGUUAUUAAGCUUAGCCGAAACUAUACAGCUAAUACAAAAAAAUGACAGAACUGUGCUAGGUUUUAAAGACUUAUCUCAAAUAAACUACAUACAGUCUGGAAGUUAAGACACUUAAACUUAUGUAAAGCAAUAACUGUAGGAUUUAAAUGUGCCUUAAAUGUUCAAAUAGUCCUUGAGAAAAUAGAUUCAAUGAGUAACGGAGGGUGUUAACUUGCUGAAUCAACAUCGGAACCACAGAACAUUAAAGACAUGAUGACAUAACAGAUUUUUAUCCUUUGUAUCAUCAGUCUAGACAUGAUUUGAACUCAAGCUCCUCUUAGUGACAGUUGGGAAUGCUGUGGCAGCUCAUUAAUCACCAGGACAGCCUGGAGGAGCUGCACUUAAUCCCAUGAUGGUAUCCUCACCAUCCUCCACCGCUGCGGUUGCUCAUAAAAGUCAGUUCAAGGCAAGAAUAUUGGCAUUCAAAUUUGUGACUGCUGCUGUGAACAGAUGUCACCUCUGGCGAGUAAGGGUAAUGGCACCAGCAGUAAGGCAGGCCCACCCUGGCUCCUGGGGCUAAACAACAUACCACCACUGGGCUUCAGAGGGGGCAGAGGCAGGAGGGACAGCUUCAACAAGUGAACGUUUCACAAGCAUGCUCUCCGCAGUCCUUUUCCCUUCCCUGCAAUUAUCAUCAAAGAACAUCUGUUUGUUGUUCCUCAGGCACCCUCCCCUCACAAGUGUCCUAGCCUCACCUUGACCCAUAC